rnacentral:rRNA from 1 species
UGAGUUUGAUCCUGGCUCAGGAUGAACGCUGGCGGCGUGCUUAACACAUGCAAGUCGAACGAAGCACUGAAAGCAGAUUACUUCGGUAGGAAGCUAUCUUUGACUGAGUGGCGGACGGGUGAGUAACGCGUGGGUAACCUGCCUCAUACAGGGGGAUAACAGUUAGAAAUGACUGCUAAUACCGCAUAAGCGCACGGGACUGCAUGGUCCAGUGUGAAAAACUCCGGUGGUAUGAGAUGGACCCGCGUCUGAUUAGCCAGUUGGCAGGGUAACGGCCUACCAAAGCGACGAUCAGUAGCCGGACUGAGAGGUUGGCCGGCCACAUUGGGACUGAGACACGGCCCAGACUCCUACGGGAGGCAGCAGUGGGGAAUAUUGGGCAAUGGGCGCAAGCCUGACCCAGCAACGCCGCGUGGGUGAAGGAGCGUUUCGGCGCGUAAAGCCCUGUCAGCGGGGAAGAAGAAAGACGGUACCCGACCAAGAAGCCCCGGCUAACUACGUGCCAGCAGCCGCGGUAAUACGUAGGGGGCGAGCGUUAUCCGGAAUUACUGGGUGUAAAGGGAGCGUAGACGGCGAGGUAAGCCUGAAGUGGAGGCCCGCGGCCCAACCGCGGAACUGCUUUGGGAACUGUUUU